GUGAAAUUUAUUUAUAGGCAGA
rnacentral:miRNA from 2 species